UACAGAGGGGGCAAGCGUUGUUCGGAAUUACUGGGCGUAAAGGGCGCGUAGGCGGCCUUCUAAGUCGAACGUGAAAUCCCCGGGCUCAACCCGGGAACUGCGUCCAAUACUGGAAGGCUUGAAUCCGGGAGAGGGAUGCGGAAUUCCAGGUGUAGCGGUGAAAUGCGUAGAUAUCGGAAGGAACAUCAGUGGCGAAAGCGGCUUCCUGGACCAGUACCGACGUUCAGGCACGAAAGCGUGGGGAGCAAACAGG
rnacentral:rRNA from 1 species